UACAGAGGUCCCAAGCGUUGUUCGGAUUCAUUGGGCGUAAAGGGUGCGUAGGUGGCGCCGUAAGUCGGGUGUGAAAUUUCGGAGCUUAACUCCGAAACUGCAUUCGAUACUGGCGUGCUUGAGGACUGGAGAGGAGACUGGAAUUCAUGGUGUAGCAGUGAAAUGCGUAGAGAUCAUGAGGAAGACCAGUGGCGAAGGCGGGUCUCUGGACAGUUCCUGACACUGAGACACGAAGGCCAGGGGAGCAAACGGG
rnacentral:rRNA from 1 species